rnacentral:rRNA from 1 species
GAAAGGGCCUUCGGGCCCCUGAAAGCGGCGAACGGGUGAGUAACACGUGGGCAACCAACCCUCAGUACCGGGAUAGCCCGGGGAAACCCGGAUUAAUACCGGACGGCCUCUCCGAUCUGCGGAUCGGCGAGAAAAGGUAGCUUCGGCCUCCGACCGAGGACGGGCCUGCGGCCGAUUAGCUUGUUGGUGAGGUAACGGCUCACCAAGGCAACGAUGCGUAGCCGACCUGAGAGGGUGAUCGGCCACACUGGGACUGAGACACGGCCCAGACUCCUACGGGAGGCAGCAGUAGGGAAUCUUCCGCAAUGGACGAAAGUCUGACGGAGCAACGCCGCGUGAGCGAUGAAGGUUUUCGGA